AGGUCUUGGAAUAGAUUCGGUUUCUAUGAGCCAAGAAGUCAGCAGAGGUCAUAGUAGGAAUUUAUAGUAUUGACAGAAAGAUAUGUCUGCGGAGGUCAAGCGAACCGACUGUCUGAGCUAUCCGACAAAGAAAUAAAUUCCGAAGGAC
rfam:Bacteroidetes bacterium GWA2_30_7 gwa2_scaffold_27543, whole genome shotgun sequence.